rnacentral:misc_RNA from 1 species
CCAUGAUGUUAAUAUUUUAAGGGCGAGAUAUAUUUUUACGCUCUAGGGAUGACAAGGGUGGUAUACGAAGAAAAUGUGGUUUUCUUUCAGUGAGAUUAUUAUUGAAUUAGUUAAACACAGUUAUGUGAAAGUGAAGGAUGUUAUUUUUGGAAAUGAAAAAUGUCCCUAUAAUCAAAUUAAAAGGAAGAGAAAAGUCAUGGGAUUAAGUCUUACGCACCGUUUUAUACUCAAUAUAUUGAGCCUACUUGUGGCAUUGGCUCUGGUUAUAUUCUUUCGGCUAGAUUUAAUAUCGCCUGGAAAGAAUGGAUUCUUUUGUGAGGAUGCCUCAAUAAAAUAUCCUUUCCGAGAUGAGCUCUUCCCCACUUGGCUCCUUCUCUUAAUUGCCAUUCCAGUUCCAUGCCUCGUCAUAACCCUUGUGGAUUUCAUCACUUCAGGUCGAAGAGCAUGGAAGAUGACUGCAUUAAAUUCAGCACAUGUUUCUAUUGUCUAUCUCUUUGGAUGUGGUGUAACUGUUAUUUUAACAGAUCUGGGCAAAACCCUUGUGAGUAGACCUCGUCCACAUUUUCUAGCCGUGUGCGAACCCAAUGUCACUUGCACUCCGGGAGUCAAUGAGUUCCAUCAAGAUUAUGUUUGCCUUGGGGACGAUGAAGAUGCAAUUAAGAAAUCCAUUCGAUCGUUUCCAUCUGGCCAUGCCUCUGUGGGAGCUUACAUUGCAACCUUCCUCUCCUUAUACUUUCAAACAAAAAUUCGCUCUGGAACUGGUACACUUGCACGCCCUAUUCUACAGCUAACAGUUUUUGCAUUUGCAUGGGGAGCAGGCCUUUGCCGAGUCACUGAUUAUCGACAUCAUUUAUCAGAUGUUUUUGCUGGAUUCGCUCUCGGCAUACUCGUGGGUUUUAUAAUCGUUCGAGGAGGAAAAAUAAAUUUAUUUCCCUUACUCACGAAUGGUAGAACCUCGCAAAGUGUACCCACAAUUGAGAGCUCUUGUCCUAGCAACAGAGAGUCACGGGUUUCUACUUUUUCUACUAAAUCUAAAAUGUGGCAUGAGACUGAGAACAAUCGAAUCAAUCCCUCUUCACUAGCUGAAACACAUACUUAAAGAACCCAAUGUAACUAAACAGGAUACAUAUUUUUGAAAUGACAAACAUUUUAUUUUAGAAUAAUCAAACACUAACCAAAUCGUUACAAUAUAUUAUUAUUCUUCAUUUACCUCGGAUGCCAAAAAAAAAAAAAGAAUUAGAGAUUAUAUAUAUACCAAUACAUAUAUUAUAUUUAAGCUUUCUAAAAAAUAUUUUAAUGUUAAUAUUUCAAUAUUGUUAUUACUAUUAUUAUAAUAUUUAUAUCGAUAACUACCUACCAUUCAUUUUUUCCUCCAUAUUAUUGAAAAUAAUUUGGAAAAAGUAGUCCUCUAUGGUCAUUUAAUUAUAAUUAAUCAUCUCUCCUCCUUUUUUUCCCUCUCUCUUUCUCUAAAAGAGAAAAAGAGAGAGAAGCCUGUCAUACAAUUAUGAAUAUGUGUUUCUUUUCUAUCAUAUUAACUCCAUUUUGGGAAUUAAAAAUAAAUGACCAAGAUCUGCUGCUCUACAUAUUGUUUAAAAAAAAAUUAUAUGAUUUUGUAAUACUCCGUAGAUGUUUUCCCAUUUGUGCUUUCAUAUUAAUAAAUUUCACACACAUUCUA